CCUACGGGAGGCAGCAGUGAGGAAUCUUGGUCAAUGGUCGGGAGACUGAACCAGCCAAGCCGCGUGAGGGAUGAAGGUACAGAGUAUCGUAAACCUCUUUUGUCAGGGAACAAAGGCGGGGACGCGUCCCCGGAUGAGUGUACCUGAAGAAAAAGCAUCGGCUAACUCCGUGCCAGCAGCCGCGGUAAUACGGAGGAUGCGAGCGUUAUCCGGAUUUAUUGGGUUUAAAGGGUGCGCAGGCGGUCUGUUAAGUCAGCGGUCAACCCCCGGGGCUCAACCCCGGACCGCCGUUGAAACUGGCAGUCUCGAGUUGGAGAGAAGUAUGCGGAAUGCGGGGUGUAGCGGUGAAAUGCAUAGAUAUCGCGCAGAACUCCGAUUGCGAAGGCAGCAUGCCGGCUCCACACUGACGCUGAGGCACGAAAGCGUGGGUAUCGAACAGGAUUAGAUACCCCAGUAGUC
rnacentral:rRNA from 1 species